CUUCGUGUACUUGCUAGCGUUAGACAGAAAAACAGAAGUAGGUAUAAGCAAUAGAAAAUAAUAUUGACAAUUAUUGUAAUUACAGGAAUUACUUACGAUUACAUCCAGAAUAGAUUUGGAAACUGGCUUGUUAGAGUUGACGGGUACACGUUUUCAAAAUGGAACAAGUCUUCAUAUUCUUGGAUGUUUCCUUAGAAUACAUACAAACUGGCAACGGGUCGUUACUUGUUCGGAUUAGCGGAUAUACAUUUGCGAAAUUGAAUAAAGUUUCAAAUACUUGGACUUGUUCACGAAGACUCAAUAAUUGUAAAGCCAAGUUGAAAAUUAAAGAUGGUUUACUGUGUGACUAUAACUUAGAGCAUAAUCACGACCCACCCAAUUUAGUGAAGUUGUCGAAUGGAACGUAUAUCAAAAUAUAAAUAUGCUUUAUUUGAUAUAAUAUGAUUUUAAUACACUUGUCUUGAUGUCUAUUACGGGUUUUAUUUUUUAUUGUAUAAUCAAGUAUUAAGUAGGUAACUUAAAUGUUUCUGGUUGUAACUAAAUCCUGAGGUAAGUACUUAAUUCAGACGCUCUAAAGCUGUAGCGUGCUGCAUACGUCUGCACUUAUAUUAGCUAUUAUAAUAUUAUAUGUAUUUAUAUUAUAUAAACAAUAAAGUGUUAAGUUGAUUGCAAUCAAACCUAGCCCAAUUGGAUUUAAUCAUCCGAGUGCUCUUUAAUUUAAACAAAAAUUUAGUUAAUAAGGAAACGCUUGAGAAUCGCUCAGGUGAAUUACUUUAGUAUGCGUGAGACAGCUACGUCUUACACUCGCGAUUUAUUAGACACUUUGUUUUAGUAUGCGUGCGUUGAUGAAAAUAGAGCUUAACUUUGGUUCGCCGCUAUUUUUUCGAGGUGUUCACAGACGUAUAAAUUAUAUUAGUAUUGUUUAUACAAUACGCGCACGAAUAAUGGCAGUGAUGUUCAUUGCAAGAUGCUAUUAUGUUUGAUUUUUAACCCCAUUUCAUUAUUGAGACCACACAAAAUAUGCAUCUGAAUUGGCGGAAUAUUAUCUAAAUGUCUUACAUAAUAAACACAUACCAAAUAUGAAUUGAAAAUAUAAAAAUAGUACUAAUUUUAAUUUUAGUUGUAUAUUAUUUCAUUGUUUAAUAUUUGUGUCGACUAUGUUUGACGGCUUUUGUCAGCCUAGCGAAACUCUAAGAACGCGUCGAUUCACUCGAUUGUAUAAAACGCGCAGUUUUUGAUAGAUUGACAGAUGACGGCUAUAAUCUUGUAAAAAAGGAGAGACCCGAAAUCUAUUACGUUUUAUGCAACUGUUCGCUUUCGAACUUAGUCGAAUUAUAGUUCUUUAUUUUUUGCAACCAAGUAAUAUUCAUGUGUCAAACAUAUUUAAUAUAUUUUUUCUACUCCUCUGCUUUUAUCUGUCAUUUAUACAGCCACGAUUAGUAAUAUAACCAAAGAAUAUGUAAUAGUACAAGUACAGAAGACUAGAAAUCAAUUAAAGAAAUAGGAACUCUUGCGGCCAUAGGUGUAAUUCAGAUCACACAGCGCUACUAACCAACAUUUUUAUUCACCUAGAAGUUGCAUCUCUUUCUAUCGCGUGACCUUUACCUCUUCUGACGACGUUAGGGUUGUCUUCUUUACCUAAAUCAGUACGUACCUACCAGUAAAUAAAUAUAAAUUGUGACAGUAAAGUGUAAAUAAUUUAACUUGUUAAGUUAAAUCAAGAUAGGAAUUGUGAAUUUAAUUAGUUACCUAAUAAAGUAUAAUUUUACUGCA